CAGGCUAAUCUUACAUGACAAAAAUAAGACAUCAUGGGAUAUAUGGACGCACUUGUUUCUGUUAUUGUAUUUGUCGUGUCUGUUGUUUUGCAGUUUAAAUUAUUUUGUCUUUGUCACAUUCCAGUUGUUUGGCAUUUGAAAAAAAUUGGAAGAAGCAUGGCUUGAUUGGUUUCUGUUCUAUGGCGACUUGACACACUGAAUUAAAACCCAAAGGGCCUUUUUCUGGACACCGGUUAGGCCUUGUACUGGACUAAAAGUCAUCCUGAAUGGAGAAUAUCCAAUGAAUUAUAUUUGUUCCAGGACUAAGCUUAAUUGUUGUCCAGCAAACCAGCCUAAGAAGUAUGGAGGAAAAAAACAACACAACAAUCUGUUGGUGAGCUGUCUUACCGACAUAGCCGCUGCUAUGAUGUAGUUUCUCUACUUGAAGAUUUCUUGUAGUAACCUCAGGUGGAAAACCUUUUGGAGGAAAAAAAAUCAUCCCCUGAGCGUUAUUCUGUCUAUGGGUGUAUUGUUCGCUAACGUUGUCGUUUGUGUGUCUGCGUGCUAGCUCACCAGUAAGAGACUGAGAUGACGUAUACACUCGGGCCAGUGUCAAAAAACAUAUUGUGACUAGAUAUCGACAGACAUUUUAAAUUUGAAUAUACCUUUUGAGGAAUGCGAAUAUGUAAUUGGGAAGAGUUAACUUGCACAUAACUAAUGCAACGGUGGCAAAGUGAUUGUAAGUCAUUUCUAUUGUUAAAAUGUAAUUAUGUACAUGAUGCCUUGAUAACAACUGGAUGAUUUUUGCUAGUGAUUCUUAAUGCCGUGUUAUUUUUAUGAGUGGCUGUGGACGAGACUUCAAUUUGAAAUGUACAUUUUGGAGCUAUGGAUCGAGAAGCUUCUGCGCAUGUUUUUCUCUAAAUGCAAAUGUCUUCAUUUCACAAUUUUUUAUAGCCUUCAUCAUUGCUAUGUUUCUGAAAUAUAAAUAAAACCCCAUAGGUUAUUUGAACAAACAUUCCAAAAAUACAAAAAUGUAACGACUCCUUCCACCCCGUUCUCUAAACACUUCUACAUGUGGGCUUCAGCCAAUCUGUUUCAACUUGUAAUCUUAGGCCAUUAAACACUUACUGUAAGCACAGCGCAAACAGGCAGUCUGUUAAACGCUAUUUAGGUUGGCAUAUCAAACACAUGAACGACCCAGACAGGCUGUCAUAAUGGCAAUUUUAUGUUUUAUCAUUGCAAAGAUUUAAUUAAACAGACAGGCAUGAAAGGAAGACAAGCCAAGGGUCAUCUAAUUGGACAAGAACAUACAGUAUAGAAAAUUUCUGGAAUGUGAUGUGGGCAGAAGCUUCUGUAUCGAUAACACCAGAGAUACUGUAGGAAGUACUUAAAAGUCUGUGUAAAGCUGGAUUUGUAGCCAUGGCCAUUUUUUUUUAUUAAUAAAAAAGACCUUGCACAAUAGGCCAAAAGCAAAUAUGAUGAUAGACAUAUUUGCAAAUGGAGGUCUUUUCAUUUUGUUGUCAGGGCGGGGGUUAAAUCAUCUUUUUACAGCACCAACCAACUGAAGUAGAUCUCUUACAAUAGCUUGUGAAUCAUUUGCCC
ensembl:lncRNA